rnacentral:lncRNA from 10 species
UUUUUUUUUUUUUUUUUUUUGAGACAGGGUGUUGCUCCAUUGCCCAGGCUGAAGUGCAGUGGUGGGAUGAUAACUCACUGCAGCCUCAACUUCCUGGGCUUAACAGAUCCUCCCACCUCAGCCUCUCAAGUAGCUGAGAUUACAGGUGCACACCAAUACGCCUGGCUAAUUAAAAAACAACAAACAAACAAACAAACAAACAAAAAUAUGUUUUUUUUGUAGAGAUGGGGUCUCACUGGGUUGCCCAGGCUGGUCUGAAACUCUUGCCCUCAAGUGAUCCUCCCGUCUCAGACUCUCCAAGUGCUAGGAUUGAGCCACCACGCCCAUCUGGGAUGCCUUGUCUUUUAUACCUUUACUCCACAAAUAUGUGCUUAGGCAUUGCUUGCUGUGGCCAGAACCUUGCAGGGGUGAGAGACACAGGUAAAUGAGAGCUGGUCCCAGCCCUCCCUCAGAAAGCUGCUGGACCACAGGGUGACAAAACUGAAGCUGUCUGUCACAUCCGGGAGCAGGUGCUAUGAGGAUAAGCAGCCAGAGAAGACCCCUAACUUGAUCUGUGGCCAUCAAAGAAGGCACCCAAGGCAGGAUGCCUCCCUGAAUCCUAAAGCCAAUUAGCAGUCAGCCAGGACAGCUGCUAGAGGGGGUCUAAGGGGGAGUGGAGAGGAUGUUCCAGGCAGAGGGAACAGCAGACAGGAAGGCUCAGAGGUGAGUGUGAGCAGGCAGUCUCAGGGACCCCAGACAGUUGGUGAGGCUGCAGUGCUCAGGGGAGGUGUGCCAACAGGUAAGCUGGCAGGGCCGGGUCCCUGGGGGCUGGCUUGUCCUUUCUGCCAUUGUCUGAGAGAGUGGGUGGCUGGUAUCUGGUGGCCCAGAUGAAGAUAAUGGAGAUGCAAUUGUGUUCUUCUUUCUGCUCAGUGCCUCUCAGUUAAGGACAUUUGCAAAAAUUAAUAACAGCAUAUGCUUUUAUGUCCUCCACUUAAAUUUCCUUUGGAUUAAAGAAAGUAACGGAGGGAAAGGAAGAAAAGCAGGAAGGAGCGAGAGAGGGAGGGGAGAAAGAGACAAAAGAAGGAAAAUAAUUUGGGGAAAAAAAAUUUGUCCUUUUCUGGGCUAAGAUAGCCCCAGCCUUUGCAUUUUCUCACCCACUGAGUCACCAGCCUCCUGCCCUCUUUCAGGACUGUACAUCUUGGCCUCUUACCUACUGUGUCCGCGUCAGCCUCCCUCACAGCCUGAUGGCCCCUGCGGCAGCCCCAACCCGGUUUCAGGGGCUAAGAAAACUACAGUUGCAUGAACGGGUGGAGGUGAGUGGGAGGCAGAAGCGGCGGGGAGAACCAGUCUGUUCCGAGAUCUCUGGACCAACCAGUGGAUCCUGAUGGUCAGCCUUGUCUAGAGCCCCUUCCAGCGUGCAGGCCAGUCCUCCUGGCAUUCUUCUAAUUACACCGAGCUGUGAGUUAUGUGUGCCAAGUAUGUGCUGGAUUUUGUACCAAGUGCUUUCCAUUCAUCAGUUCAGGGUAGUGAUGCAGGUAGCUCCAGGCUCAGAGAGGAACAGUGACUUCUCCCAGGUCACACAGCUGGAAAGUGGCUGAGUCUGGAUUCAAACCCAGACUUCCUUGUUGCUAGGACCUGUAUUUUCAACCACUGCCUAUGCCUCUAUAACGAGCCAGCUUAUGGCUGUGUUCACGCAAAGAGAAAAGCAUCCAAAUGGGAAGGCUGGAGAAUUCAAGCAAUUUUCCCGCGUGUCAGACAGUCCUGUUUCCCUCUCCCUUCAAAAAAAGUCCUGGAUUAUCUCUCUCUCUCUCUCUCUCUUUCUUUUUCCUUUUCCUUUUUGUUUUUUUUCUUUGUUUGUUCUUUCUUUCUUUCUUUUUUUUUUUUUUGAAACAGGGUAUUACUCUGUUACUCAGGCUGGAGUGCAGUGGUGUGAUCACAGCCC